GACACAAGGCACUUGUGGGGGCCCCACACCGGCCCCACAGCAUUGCCUUCUGUCUUUUCCAGGCUCAGAGCCGGGUCCCCGUGACCCCAUGACCUUCAGAGUUGAACAAUUUCUGGAACCGUGGGAGCCAAAGGCCCAGAGCCUGGAGUCUCCGGCCCCUGGAUGCUGGCGCCCACCUGCUGCUGCCCUUGCUGCCGAGAAGUGACGAGAGGGGCAGGGCCAGAGGUGGGAGGAUGGGGGACUGCCUGCCACCCAUGGACACCCUGCCAGCGGGAUAUCCUUCCUGAUGACCCACGGGACUCCUUGAACCUGAGCCGAUGGGCAGAGGCAGAUGGAGUGGGGAUCCUGUGUGCGUCCCAUCCACGUCCCUGCUGGGAAUGCCCCGAGCAACCAGCCAUCUCUGCAGGGCUCUGUGAGCCUGAAUGUGCCGCCUGCUGCCUGGACUCUGCUGUCCACCCCGGGGAGCUGCGUCCGGCUUGCAUUUGGUGGCCGAGUGCCACUGCGUGGCCCUGCCCCCAGGAUCCAAUUGCUGUCAUGGUGUUUAGGAUUCCCAGGUCAGAGGCUGCAGAUCCCCCACGAGGUGCACCUGCAAAGUGACCGCAGAGCCCCUCGAGCCUGCACAGAUGCCCCCUUGGUCGUGGUGAGACAGGCAUGCCCGGGACCCCUUGGGGCAGGUGAGGGCUCCACUCUGGCCUCAGUCUCCCUGUGCCUGGAUCCCCCGGACAGAUGGUGGCUCUGGCUUUUCCCGCCUUGCUCACCGUGGCCCCACUGGCCUGGGUUUCAGCCAACCCGCCACCCUCUGCCAUUGUGAAAUGCAGGAUCUCUGCUGGGUGGGCCCGUGGCUGCAAUGUUGGCCUGACACCCCUUGACGCCGUCCUCUGCGCAGGCCCUCCUCUGGGACUCAGCCCAGUGGCUUGUUUCCAUCAGGGUUUGGUGGGGAUGGUCAUCAGGUUCCCCUGUGUGGCUGCUUUCUUCCAUCUCAUGAGCAAAGAGGCUCCCUCCCCUGAAGGCCAGGUCAGCAUUGGAAGCUUUGUCAUCUUAUUUUUACCACAUAAGCAU